rnacentral:rRNA from 1 species
CCUACGGGCGGCAGCAGUGAGGAAUAUUGGUCAAUGGUCGGGAGACUGAACCAGCCAAGCCGCGUGAGGGAUGAAGGUACAGAGUAUCGUAAACCUCUUUUGUCAGGGAACAAAGGCGGGGACGUGUCCCCGGAUGAGUGUACCUGAAGAAAAAGCAUCGGCUAACUCCGUGCCAGCAGCCGCGGCAAUACGGAGGAUGCGAGGGUUAUCCGGUUUUAUUGGGUUUAAAGGGUGCGCAGGCGGUCUGUUCAGUCAGCGGUCAAAGCCCGGGGCUCAACCCCGGCCCGCCGUUGAAACUGGCAGUCUUGAGGUGGAGAGAAGUAUGCGGAAUGCGCGGUGUAGCGGUGAAAUGCAUAGAUAUCGCGCAGAACUCCGAUUGCGAAGGCAGCAUGCCGGCUCCACACUGACGCUGAGGCACGAAAGCGUGGGUAUCGAACAGGAUGAGAUACCCGAGUAGUC